rnacentral:rRNA from 1 species
UAAGACGAACUGUCCUAACGUUGUUCGGAAUCACUGGGCUUAAAGGGCGCGUAGGCGGUCGAACAAGUCAGGGGUGAAAUCCUGCAGCUUAACUGUAGAAGUGCCUCUGAUACUGUUCGUCUGGAGGGAGAUAGGGGUGUGCGGAACUUCCAGUGGAGCGGUGAAAUGCGUUGAUAUUGGAAGGAACGCCGGAGGCGAAAGCGGCGCACUGGAUCUCUACUGACGCUGAGGCGCGAAAGCCAGGGGAGCAAACGGGAUUAGAUACCCCGGUAGUCCUGGCCCUAAACGAUGAGUACUAGAUUGUAGACUGAUCAUGGGUUUACAGUCGAAGCAAAAGUGUUAAGUACUCCGCCUGGGGAGUAUGGUCGCAAGGCUG